rnacentral:misc_RNA from 1 species
AAAGUCGUAACAAGGUUUCCGUAGGUGAACCUGCGGAAGGAUCAUUACAAGGUUUAACUGUCGCUCGCCUUCUUGGGUGGUUCGGCAGACCCCACGAUUCAUCCCAUGUGCACUCAUUGAGAAAAGGCCUCUGCGCAGGCGGAGGGCCUUUUUUUAUUAUUAUUUUUUAUUACCUCUUUAAAUUUUGCCUGAUACUUUUUUCUUGAUAAAAAUAAAAUGAAAUACAACUUUCAACAACGGAUCUCUUGGCUCUC